GGGCCCGUAGCUCAAUGGGUAGAGCGGCGGACUCAUAAUCCGUUGGUUGGAGGUUCGAGUCCUCCCGGGCCCA
rnacentral:tRNA from 1 species